rnacentral:rRNA from 1 species
UACGGAGGAUGCAAGCGUUACUCCGGAAUGAUUGGGCGUAAAGGGUCCGCAGGUGGCAGUGUAAGUCUGCUGUCAAAGAAUGAGGCUUAACCUCAUCAAGGCAGUGGAAACUACACAGCUAGAGUACGGUCGGGGUAGAAGGAAUUCCUGGUGUAGCGGUGAAAUGCGUAGAGAUCAGGGAAGAACACCGGUGGGCGAAAGCCGUCCUUGCCUGGGUCCUGCACUAGACA